AUUGAACGCUGGCGGCAGGCUUAACACAUGCAAGUCGAGCGGGGUGAUGGUGCUUGCACUAUCACUUAGCGGCGGACGGGUGAGUAAUGCUUAGGAAUCUGCCUAUUAGUGGGGGACAACAUCUCGAAAGGGAUGCUAAUACCGCAUACGUCCUACGGGAGAAAGCAGGGGAUCACUUGUGACCUUGCGCUAAUAGAUGAGCCUAAGUCGGAUUAGCUAGUUGGUGGGGUAAAGGCCUACCAAGGCGACGAUCUGUAGCGGGUCUGAGAGGAUGACCAGCCACACUGGAACUGAGACCCGGUCCAGACUCCUACGGGAGGCAGCAGUGGGGAAUAUUGCACAAUGGGCGCAAGCCUGAUGCAGCCAUGCCGCGUGUAUGAAGAAGGCCUUCGGGUUGUAAAGUACUUUCAGCGGGGAGGAAGGUGUUGAGGUUAAUAACCUCAGCAAUUGACGUUACCCGCAGAAGAAGCACCGGCUAACUCCGUGCCAGCCGCCGCCGUAA
rnacentral:rRNA from 1 species